rnacentral:rRNA from 1 species
UGCCUCAGUAACGGCGAGUGAAGCGGCAAGAGCUCAAAUUUGAAAUCUGGCUCCUUCGGGGCCCGAGUUGUAAUUUGGAGAGGAUGCUUCGGGCGUGGCCCCCAUCUAAGUGCCCUGGAACGGGCCGUCAUAGAGGGUGAGAAUCCCGUCUGGGAUGGGUGGUCCCGCCCGUGUGAAGCUCCUUCGAAGAGUCGAGUUGUUUGGGAAUGCAGCUCUAAGAGGGUGGUAAAUUUCAUCUAAAGCUAAAUAUUGGCCGGAGACCGAUAGCGCACAAGUAGAGUGAUCGAAAGAUGAAAAGCACUUUGAAAAGAGAGUUAAACAGCACGUGAAAUUGUUGAAAGGGAAGCGUUGGCAACCAGACUCGCCCGGGGGGGCUCAGCCGGCACGUGUGCCGGUGCACUCCCCCCCGGGCGGGCCAGCGUCGGUUUGGGCGGUCGGUCAAAGGCCCCGGGAAUGUAGCACCCUCCGGGGUGCCUUAUAGCCCGAGGCGCCAUGCGACCUGCCCGGACCGAGGAACGCGCUCCGGCUCGGACGCUGGCGUAAUGGUUGUCAACGGCCCGUCUUGAAACACGGACCAAGGAGUCUAACAUCUAUGCGAGUGUUCGGGUGUCAAACCCGUCCGCGCAGUGAAAGCGAACGGAGGUGGGAACCCUCUCGGGGGUGCACCAUCGACCGAUCCUGAUGUCUUCGGAUGGAUUUGAGUAAGAGCAUAGCUGUUGGGACCCGAAAGAUGGUGAACUAUGCCUGAAUAGGGCGAAGCCAGAGGAAACUCUGGUGGAGGCUCGCAGCGGUUCUGACGUGCAAAUCGAUCGUCAAAUUUGGGUAUA